GGAUUAUCAGGUUGGUCGUGCCUCUGGUAUGUACUGAUUUAGAUGGUUUCUCCUUCUUGUAGAACCGUAAUGCCAUUAAUUUGGUGUUGCGGGAAAACAGGACUGUUACUUUGAAAAAAUUAGAGUGUUUAAAGCAGGCAAUCGCUUGAAUACAUUAGCAUGGAAUAAUGAAAUAGGACGUUUGAUCCUAUUUUGUUGGUUUCUAGGAUUGACGU
rnacentral:rRNA from 1 species